GAGAACAAUGUCUUACAACAGACCAGUUCAUUCACAAACCAUCCUUUAGCCAAAGCUUUGAGAAAAAGUCUCCCUAAGAAAAAGAAUGACAAAUGUUAUGGCACUGUCUAAAAGCACUUAAAGAAUCCAGAGGAAGAAUGUUCCAAAAAUCCGCGGCAAGACUAAAUAUUUGGGGUGUGAUGUGUGACAAUCAAGAGCCUUAAAAGAAGUUUUCAGUCUUCAGUACACACUUGAUAUGAGGCAACCAAAAAAAAUACUUGAUCUACCAACAACAUAUGAGGUGGAGAAAGCUCUGCUAUUAUCAGCCACAGGAAACAUAGUAGACCAUCAUUCACUUCAAUUUGCAUGAGUUAAGAGCCCAACUGGUGGUGAGGAACGAAGGAGCAGGGAUAGUACUACAGAGGACAAAGAAGAAAAUAAAGUGGCCCUGUCCUAUCACUAAAGCCAAUGCUUUGUCUCAAGAAAUCAGUGAGCUGUGGCCAACUGGAAUAAUUUUUGUCCUCUAAAACACAAAGGAAGUCGUACAUAGCUCCUUUUCCUACAGGAAAAACAACAUGGUAUAAUGGAAGAAGAACAUAUUCUAAAAUAAGCUGCCAGAGCUGAGAAACUGCAAAAGGGACUGCCUAAAAUACUAUCUGGCCCUUUACAAAAAUGUCUGCGGACCCCCAUUCUAAGUGCUCGAAAGCAUUCAACAUUCAUUGAUAAAUAUUUGUUAAGCAUCUGUUAUGUGCCAGGCAUGGAAGAAACUACAUUAUAAGUCUG